rnacentral:rRNA from 1 species
AGUGAACGCUGGCGGUAGGCCUAACACAUGCAAGUCGAACGGCAGCACAGUAAGAGCUUGCUCUUACGGGUGGCGAGUGGCGGACGGGUGAGGAAUACAUCGGAAUCUACUUUUUCGUGGGGGAUAACGUAGGGAAACUUACGCUAAUACCGCAUACGACCUACGGGUGAAAGCAGGGGAUCUUCGGACCUUGCGCGAUUGAAUGAGCCGAUGUCGGAUUAGCUAGUUGGCGGGGUAAAGGCCCACCAAGGCGACGAUCCGAAGCUGGUCUGAGAGGAUGAUCAGCCACACUGGAACUGAGACACGGUCCAGACUCCUACGGGAGGCAGCAGUGGGGAAUAUUGGACAAUGGGCGCAAGCCUGAUCCAGCCAUACCGCGUGGGUGAAGAAGGCCUUCGGGUUGUAAAGCCCUUUUGUUGGGAAAGAAAAGCAGCAGGUUAAUACCCCGCUGUUCUGACGGUGCCCAAAGAAUAAGCACCGGCUAACUUCGUG